UUUCAUUGCUGGCAAUUUGUUUUAAUAUUUCCUUUUGGCCUGUAUGGUCUUUUCUCACACCUGUGGUCCUCUUCAUCCAGUUCAUGGGUGUAGUGAUGCUGUGUCACUCUUGGGCUAAGUCCUCUGUGAGUCUGUGCCAGUGCCUUCCUGCUGAGAUGUCUACCAGAAACUGAAACUGGUAAUUUCUACCUUCAGAAAUGCAUACAUUUGUAUGUACCAUAAAGUUCUCCUUUGAUGAGCUUGGAUGCAGCAGCUCAUGACAUGU